rnacentral:misc_RNA from 1 species
GAACGCACCUUGCGCCCUUUGGCUAUUCCGAAGGGCAUGCCUGUUUGAGUAUCAUGAACACCUCAACUCUCAUGGCUUUGCCGUGAUGAGCUUGGACUUUGGGGGUCUUGCUGGCCUGUUGUCGGCUCCUCUCAAAUGAAUCAGCUUGCCAGUGUUUGGGGGCACCACAGGUGUGAUAAACAUCUACGCCUGCGGUUAUCCACCAUGUAACCUUCAGUGAUGGAGGUUCGCUGGAGCUCAUAAACGUCUUUCCUCAGCGAGGACAGCUCUUCGACUGUUUGAUCUCAAAUCAGGUAGGACUACCCGCUGAACUUAAG